rnacentral:tRNA from 1 species
GCCGCGAUAGCUUGGCUGAUAAAGCAUCUGCCGGGUGUGCGGAGGGUCGCCGGUUCGAUUCCGGCUCAUGGCG